CCUGGACGCAGAGCGAUACACAGAUGUCUGAGUGACCUGCCAGGACAUGCCAGUCUGCCUGCUUUGGGGCUUGUUGUGGACUGAAGCUGUGUGCCCUUGGGCGAGUUGCUGAACCUCUCUGAGUUUCCGUUUCCUCUUUAUAACCGGAUGACCAGUAGGUCUCCGCCACUGGUUGCUGUGAGGAUCAGAGGGGCUGAGUCUGGAGAGGCACCCUCAGAGCAAGGGGGAACCCCACGCGGCUGGGCGGGGCCUGCGCUGCGAGGGGCGGGAUCCGGGCAGGGGGCGGGGCCUUAGGCCCCGGAAACCCUCGGCGUUCGACGUGCUCGGCGCUCGCCCGGCCGGCCUACGUACGGCGCGCGUCGUGCUGGGGGCUUCGCACCGUCGUCAUGUCCACGGCGAUGAACUUCGGUUCCAAGAGCUUCCAGCCGAGGCCCCCGGACAAGGGCAGCUUCCCGCUGGACCACUUCGGUGAAUGUAAAAGCUUUAAGGAGAAAUUCAUGAAGUGUCUCCGUGAAAAUAAUUCUGAAAAUGCUUUGUGCAGAAACGAAUCAAAAGAAUAUUUAGAAUGCAGGAUGGAGAGAUGGAAAGGACUGCUCCUGACCUGUCAGGAAGGCUCCAGGAUCGUGCAUCAGAGAAACCUGACUGAGCUGACAUGUGAAGGUUGUGGGCCCGCAGUCAGUGCCUUUCACCUUCUCAGACCGUGAGAAUGUGUGCUCUCGUUUGGUUCCACCCCGACUCAGAGAUCUGUGCAAUGUGACAGGAAAGACAACGGGAUGUGUAAGAAACGAUGAAAGAUAAAUGGUUCUUCUGUCUUAAUGAGAAUUCACCAGAGCUCACUUUUAAACAAAACAAAACAGGUGCCUGUGGUCCAUCGAGAGUUAAAGCAGCUGAUGGCACAAGAACCACUGGAAAAACUGGGAUUUGGAGAUUUGAUAGAUGGAAAAUCAGAGACAAAAACUAAAUUUUGAUGGGAAGAAGACUGCUGGGCUGUGUCAGGGAUCGUCUGGGACAGAGCGGUGGCGCUGACCUUGUCACCCUGACGGUUUCCUUACGAGCUGCAGUGACUGACAGAGGGGCGCCCAGAGUUCCCUGGAAGUGUCUGUGAAAUCAGAAGAGACACACCUCCUUGGGGGGUGGGGCUCAGGCUCGGAAAUUUCCACAUUAGUGUGAAAAAUUAUCCUUCGUUUUAGAGUC